GAGACACCCUUAUGGGGCAAGACUUGCUUCAGUGGGGCUUUGGUGCUCACUAAGUCUGCCCCCUGAGUGUGUCCCU
rfam:Myotis lucifugus cont2.52291, whole genome shotgun sequence.